rnacentral:lncRNA from 1 species
GGGACUUCUGGACAUCUCAAGGUACUCAGAGAGUAAUGCAAUUAAAUUACAUGUGCUUUCUCUUCUGAAUGCCCUGUUCUCUCUUCCUCAAUACAGGUCUAACACCAGCAAUAUUUACACACCGAAGGCACGAGUAUGGCCAUUUGGGGGGCUGUGAUAUUGUUAUUGAGGAGUUUUCCAGAGAUAACUAGACAAGAGCUAGAAAACAAUGGAAGGAACUUUAGAAGCUCACAGGAUAAUCCGGCAUUGUUCACCCUGUGUAAAGGCUCUAUGGUGGAUCCAUCAGGCUAUCAGUCAGGUGUGGAAAGGGAAGAUCUCAGUUUCAAUGGAGCAUUGGAUUUACACAAGUCAAGAGGCAAAAAGUGGGCUUUGCUGAAGACUGAUGCUAAAGCUGAAUUCUGGACAAUGAGUAGCAAUGAGCCAUGUAAAGAAAAGGAAGUGAGUAGGUCCUGAGGCAAAACAGAGUUUGCCACGUUUGAGGAACUGUGAGAGAACUGUUGUUCCCAGUGGGAGAACACUAAGAAUGAAAUUGGCUCAAAAUGAGGCUGGAGAUGUAGGCUUAGAUUACAUAGGUUGGCCAGCAUAGGAAUUUUAGAUUUCAUUUUAAAAAUCAAUGGGGAAUCAUUAAAUUGCUUUAAGUUAGAGAGGAGGAAUAGCUGCAGAGCAAAUUUCCAUUUUUUGAAGAUUAUUUUAUGGGUAAGACCUCCAGAAUAGCCACCACCAUCCCCCCAUCACCAUACCCCCCCACCAUCUCCCCC